rnacentral:rRNA from 3 species
GUAGUUGAACCUUGGGCCUGGCUGGCCGGUCCGCCUCACCGCGUGUACUGGUCCGGCCGGGCCUUUCCCUCUGUGGAACCCCAUGCCCUUCACUGGGUGUGGCGGGGAAACAGGACUUUUACUUUGAAAAAAUUAGAGUGCUCCAGGCAGGCCUAUGCUCGAAUACAUUAGCAUGGAAUAAUAGAAUAGGACGUGUGGUUCUAUUUUGUUGGUUUCUAGGACCGCCGUAAUGAUUAAUAGGGACAGUCGGGGGCAUCAGUAUUCAAUUGUCAGAGGUGAAAUUCUUGGAUUUAUUGAAGACUAACUACUGCGAAAGCAUUUGCCAAGGAUGUUUUCAUUAAUCAGGAACGAAAGUUAGGGGAUCGAAGACGAUCAGAUACCGUCGUAGUCUUAACCAUAAACUAUGCCGACUAGGGAUCGGACGAUGUUAUUUUUUGACUCGUUCGGCACCUUACGAGAAAUCAAAGUGCUUGGGCUCCAGGGGGAGUAUGGUCGCAAGGCUGAAACUUAAAGAAAUUGACGGAAGGGCACCACCAGGGGUGGAGCCUGCGGCUUAAUUUGACUCAACACGGGGAAACUCACCAGGUCCAGACACAAUAAGGAUUG